UAUGAUAUCAUAGGAGCAAAAAGCAGCUUUAAGGGAAGCAUACAUGAAUAAAACAAAUAAAAGAAAAAAAGAACACAUGACUGUCACGAUCCUUAUGACCAAGACUGCACUCCAAACAUAACGAAUAGUGCCACAGUAAGAAGGUUUUAUAGGAAUAUAAAAGGAUUCUACAAAAAAACUUGUUAUUUAUCUAUUGUUAUUUUAUCUUCUUUUAGUAAAAUAUGCUAUUAUUUUGUUUGCUAGUAUCUAGUCAUGAUUUAGAUAUGAUAUUCCAAUCAUUUGUUAUUAAUAGUAUUGAAAUAUAUGGGACAACUAUUCAUAAUUAUCAAUAUAAUUUCCUACUUAAUGCUAUUUCUUUCUCUCUUUCUCUCUCCACUAUCUUCCUCCAUUCUUCUUCUUCUCUUCUGAAACUUUUAUUCUCUUUGUUUUUUUUUUCUUUCUUAUUUUGUUUCUUAUGCACAAUUACUGUUUUAUUGAAUUAAUAUUGUGCUAACCUGCUAGUCAUGGUUUUCCAUGACCUUGGUACAUGGCAGGUGAUAUCAAAGUUGUUCCAUGCUAGGGAUUGCUUUUGAUUUUAGUUGCUUUCUCCUUUUCUGAUCUCAAUUCUUUUCUUUCAUCUUCCUAUUUUGUUUCUUCUUGAUCUCAUCUUUAAUCUUUUUUUUACUCUUUUAAUUUGUUGAUUACCAAACAUGAUUUCACAUUCAAAGUUAACCCUAAGACUAAGAGAGCUUAUACAAAUCUUUAACCUAAACACUAGAAAUAUUAGCAUGUUAUGUCGGCAAUUGGAAGAAGAUUUCAGCAUGUAUUUAUUUUAUAAGAAAGCAUAUAAAAGAACAAGCUGAGUUGUUUAUGUUUGAUCAAGACAAAAAUCUUGAUACUGAAGUGGGGGCUUUUGAAUCAAAUGAAGAAGAUGAUGAGCUCGUGCAAUCAUAAACUCCAGCUGAAAAAUCUAUUUUAAUGACUAUUGCUCCAUCAACAAACAAUCAUUGCAAAGGUGAUGAAGACAUCAAAGAUAUUACAAUCAUCAAUUCAAAAUCGUAAGAGUUUCUUCUAUAUUGAUCAGAUUGCUCUUAAUAUUUAUAAAAAUAGAAUGCAGGAACCAUGUGUAGAUUAACCAAUUUUUGAAUCAGAUUUUUGCUUAAUUAGUGGUAUAAUAAUUUCUAAGGAUUUAGAUGAUUGAUUUACUCAGAAAAAGGUUGUAUGUGGUUAUGCUUAUGGUGAUUGGUUAUGAAAAUUUCAAAGGAAAAUAGAAUUAAAAGAAGUAUACAAAUUGAGUAUUAUGCGCCUCCAAGGUGUUUGUGAAAAUAAAAAUGGGGAUUGUUGAUGCUAUUGUUUUCAUGUGCCUAAAUAGAUAUGUAAUGAUGUUUUCAUUCUCGAAGAAAUGGAGUUUGAGAAAUGGAGAAGGCAAAGGAAAAGAAUGAAAUUCUUGUUAACAUUUGCAAACUUUUGUAUCUUCCAUGUUAGCUUGUUAAAGAUAAAAUACCCUCAUGAAAAAGUAAUAUCAAGGGAAUGUGCUUUAAUUCCUAUGGUCCAAAUUAUUACUAAUGGAGGGCCUUAGGAGGACUACUAUUCAUGGUGUAUCAAGUUCCUGAAAUUUUCCUCAAGGACAAGGAAAAUGUCCAAAGGAGGGGUAAUGUCAGGAUUCUUAUGAGCUCAAGGACUAAGGUUGCAUUCCAAGCACAAUUGAUAGUGCCACAAUAGGAAGAUUCCAUGGGAAUAUCAGAAAUGUCUAAAGAAUUGGAGGGGAUUUUGCAAAAAAACUUGUUAUUUAUCUAUUAUUAAUUUAUUGUAUUAAUUGUCAAUGUCUUUUAGUAAAUUAGUUAGUAAAAUUAGUUGUUAUUUUGUUUGCCAAUAUCUAGUCAUGAUUUGAAUAAGAUACUUCUAAUAAUUUGUUAUUAAUAGUGCUGAGAUAUAUAUGGG
rnacentral:lncRNA from 1 species